UACGAAGGGGGCUAGCGUUGUUCGGAUUUACUGGGCGUAAAGCGCACGUAGGCGGAUUGUUAAGUCGGGGGUGAAAUCCCGGGGCUCAACCCCGGAACUGCCUUCGAUACUGGCAAUCUUGAGUCCGGAAGAGGUGAGUGGAACUCCUAGUGUAGAGGUGGAAUUCGUAGAUAUUAGGAAGAACACCAGUGGCGAAGGCGACUCACUGGUCCGGUACUGACGCUGAGGUGCGAAAGCGUGGGGAGCAAACAGG
rnacentral:rRNA from 1 species